CGUUAGAAAUCACCCAAUUUAAUUUCUUAAUUUUGCAAAGGGGGAAUUAAGGCUUAAAGUUUGAUGGAAAAGUGCCAGACUUGUAGUCAAAAGACCUCCACUUAAGUUCUAGACUAAACACUCACUGCGUGCCCUUGGGCAAGUCGUGUGCCUCCACUUAGCCUCCAUUUCAUCAUCUGUGAAAAGAGGCACAGUAACAACAGCCCUACUCACUUUAAAAAGAGUUAUUUAAAAGUCCUAUGCGAUAACGUGGCUGAAGGAGCUUGUGUAAACUCUAAAGCAUCAGAAAAAGAUCAAGCUACUAUUGUUGUGGUUACUGAUAACCACUGAAACCCAGAUCCUAUAGUCUCACAGUUCCUGAAGGCACUCCUGGCACACCCGCAGGUCACUGGAUUGGCUACUUCCAGACUCUUAGGAGUUUACAGCUGAGUGAAGGAGUUGCUACAUACUCUUCGGAAACAUAAAACGACAAUAGAAUAGUGAUUCAAGUAAGUAAUGGGAAGCGCCACAAGGCACAUAUAGUUAAUAGCAAGUCAUUUUCUUCUCAAAAAUUUGUAUUUCUUGAGUGGGGAUGGUAGGAUCGGAAGGUUGUAGUUGGGGAAGAGGCAGUACCAAACAUGAAUAACAUUUUGUCUCUGUUUGCAAAGAAGUUUAUCAUCUGAGGGGGCAGAAAGGGGACACCAAUGAUAUACCAGCCUCAGGACCUCUAAAGGGAACACUGGUAUUAGGAAUGUGUGGCUGGGGUUGCUAAUUCCUCACCAGCUCUCCCUUCUUCUCUUCUUCCUUUCUGUGUAGGAUCUGGACUACUUGGAGAGUUGGCAGUUGGCCCAGCUAAGACACUACGGUUUUCAGCCUCAUUUGAAGCUAGGGGUGGCCACAUAAUGCAGUGCUGGACAAUGAGAUAGAAGCAGAAGUUGGAUCAGGCUUCCACAAAAGCUCUUUAAUAGUGGGGGACAUUCAGCCAGUGUGCACAUAAGAGCCGUUGAUCCUCCCUCUGCCUGGAGGACGGGUGUGAUGGUAGUGACUUCAGCAACCAUUUUGUGAUCAUGCAUGCAUGAGAGCGGAAGAGCCUC